AACAUCGCGCACCUGCGGGAACCUGCGGAGGGAUCAUUAAAUAGCUGGCCCUGCCUUUGUGCGGGCUAUGUUAUCUCUACGCACCCUCGAGAGGGGGCUGCGCCAGAGACCCAACCCUUUGUGAACCUUUAAAUUUUUGCUUCGGCAGCGCGUCUCUCUUCUGAGAGGCGGUAAGGCUGCCGACAGCCCAUACCAAAACUAUUUUUUGUUAAAACCAUGUAGUCUGAUUACUGUUAAAUU
rnacentral:misc_RNA from 1 species